UAUUGCGAAUUUUUAAUAUUU
rnacentral:piRNA from 1 species